rnacentral:misc_RNA from 1 species
GAUGAAGAACGCAGCGAAAUGCGAUAAGUAAUGUGAAUUGCAGAAUUCCGUGAAUCAUCGAAUCUUUGAACGCACAUUGCGCCCUUCGGUAUUCCGUUGGGCAUGCCUGUUCGAGCGUCAUUAGAAACUUCAAGCUCAGCUUGGUGUUGGGUGCUUGUCCCCGCCCGCGGCGGACUCACCUCAAAUGCAUUGGCGGCCGGUAUGUUGGCUACAGCGCAGUACAACGCGUCUGGCGUCUUGACAUACGGGUCCUCCAGAAGCCCCUUCUUUGACUUGACCUCGGAUCAGGUAGGGAUACCCGCUGAACUUAAGCAUAUCAAUAAGCGGAGGA